rnacentral:rRNA from 1 species
UACGUAGGGUGCAAGCGUUAAUCGGAAUUACUGGGCGUAAAGCGUGCGCAGGCGGCUAUGCAAGACAGAUGUGAAAUCCCCGGGCUCAACCUGGGAACUGCAUUUGUGACUGCAUGGCUAGAGUACGGUAGAGGGGGAUGGAAUUCCGCGUGUAGCAGUGAAAUGCGUAGAUAUGCGGAGGAACACCGAUGGCGAAGGCAAUCCCCUGGACCUGUACUGACGCUGAGGAGCGAAAGCGUGGGGAGCGAACAGG